GAAACUGGGGAAACUUUGAGUGCAGAAGAGGAGAGUGGAAUUCCACGUGUAGCGGUGAAAUUGCGUAGAGAUGUGGAGGAACACCAGUGGCGAAGGCGACUCUCUGGUCUGUAACUGACGCUGAGGAGCGAAAGCGUGGGGAGCGAACAGGAUUAGAUACCCUGGUAGUCCACGCCGUAAACGAUGAGUGCUAAGUGUUAGGGGGUUUCCGCCCCUUAGUGCUGCAGCUAACGCAUUAAGCACUCCGCCUGGGGAGUACGGUCGCAAGACUGAAACUCAAAGGAAUUGACGGGGGCCCGCACAAGCGGUGGAGCAUGUGGUUUAAUUCGAAGCAACGCGAAGAACCUUACCAGGUCUUGACAUCCUCUGACAAUCCUAGAGAUAGGACGUCCCCUUCGGGGGCAGAGUGACAGGUGGUGCAUGGUUGUCGUCAGCUCGUGUCGUGAGAUGUUGGGUUAAGUCCCGCAACGAGCGCAACCCUUGAUCUUAGUUGCCAGCAUUCAGUUGGGCACUCUAAGGUGACUGCCGGUGACAAACCGGAGGAAGGUGGGGAUGACGUCAAAUCAUCAUGCCCCUUAUGACCUGGGCUACACACGUGCUACAAUGGACAGAACAGAGGGCAGCGAAACCGCGAGGUUAAGCCAAUCCCACAAAUC
rnacentral:rRNA from 1 species